rnacentral:rRNA from 1 species
AGUGCACGCUGGCGGUAGGCCUAACACAUGCAAGUCGAACGGCAGCACAGAGGAGCUUGCUCCUUGGGUGGCGAGUGGCGGACGGGUGAGGAAUACAUCGGAAUCUACUCUGUCGUGGGGGAUAACGUAGGGAAACUUACGCUAAUACCGCAUACGACCUACGGGUGAAAGCAGGGGAUCUUCGGACCUUGCGCGAUUGAAUGAGCCGAUGUCGGAUUAGCUAGUUGGCGGGGUAAAGGCCCACCAAGGCGACGAUCCGUAGCUGGUCUGAGAGGAUGAGCAGCCACACUGGAACUGAGACACGGUCCAGACUCCUACGGGAGGCAGCAGUGGGGAAUAUUGGACAAUGGGCGCAAGCCUGAUCCAGCCAUACCGCGUGGGUGAAGAAGGCCUUCGGGUUGUAAAGCCCUUUUGUUGGGAAAGAAAUCCAUCUGGUUAAUACCCGGGUGGGAUGACGGUACCCAAAGAAUAAGCACCGGCUAACUUCGUGCCAGCCGCCGCUGUAA